CGUAGGUGGCGAGCGUUAUCCGGAAUUACUGGGCGUAAAGCGUGUGCAGGCGGGCUAGCAAGUGGUGUAUGAAAGCUCCCGGCUCAACCGGGAAGGGUCAUGCCAGACUGCUAGUCUUGAGUGCGAGAGAGGAAUGUGGAAUUCCGGGUGUAGUGGUGAAAUGCGUAGAGAUCCGGAGGAACCCCAGAGGCGAAGGCGGCAUUCUGGCUCGCAACUGACGCUCAGACACGACAGCAUGGGGAGCGAACGGGAUUAGAAACCCCGGUAGUCCAUGCCGUAAACGAUGCUAACUAGGCGCUGCGGGACUCAACCCCCGCGGUGCCGCAGCCAACGCGAUAAGUUAGCCGCCUGGGGAGUACGGCCGCAGGCUA
rnacentral:rRNA from 1 species